rnacentral:misc_RNA from 1 species
UCCGGUUUAGCACCGGCAGUCUUUCCAGAGUCCCCGGCAUUACCCGCUGGCAACUGAAAACGGGGGUUGCGCUCGUUGCGGGACUUAACCCAACAUCUCACGACACGAGCUGACGACAGCCAUGCAGCACCUGUCUCUUUGUCGUAUUGCUACGAAAGUACCAUCUCUGGUAUUGUCAAAGGAUGUCAAACCUAGGUAAGGUUCUGCGCGUUGCUUCGAAUUAAACCACAUAAUCCACCGCUUGUGCGGGCUCCCGUCAAUUCCUUUGAGUUUUAGUCUUGCGACCGUACUUCCCAGGCGGGGUACUUAUCGCGUUAGCUCCGAGUCCGGAGGGGUCAACUCCCCCGAACUCUAGUACCCAUCGUUUACAGCGUGGACUAC